CCUACGGGAGGCAGCAGUAAGGAAUAUUGGUCAAUGGACGCAAGUCUGAACCAGCCAUGCCGCGUGAAGGAUUAAGGCCCUCUGGGUUGUAAACUUCUUUUAUAGGGGACGAAAAGAGGGCAUUCUUGCUCACUUGACGGUACCCUAGGAAUAAGCACCGGCUAACUCCGUGCCAGCAGCCGCGGUAAUACGGAGGGUGCAAGCGUUAUCCGGAUUUACUGGGUUUAAAGGGUGCGUAGGUGGGUUGGUAAGUCAGUGGUGAAAUCUUCGAGCUUAACUCGGAAACUGCCAUUGAUACUAUCAAUCUUGAAUCAUCCAGAGGUAAGCGGAAUAUGUCAUGUAGCGGUGAAAUGCUUAGAUAUGACAUAGAACACCAAUUGCGAAGGCAGCUUACUAUGGAUGUAUUGACACUGAGGCACGAAAGCGUGGGGAUCAAACAGGAUUAGAUACCCUGGUAGUCCACGACCUAACCGAUAGAUACUACGACAUUGUGUAUAUACUAUAAGUAGUNUGAGNGAAGACGAUUAAGUAUCCACCGUCGGUAAGGUACGUACCGCGAGGUUAGUUAAACGUUACGAAGGAAGUUAGACGGCGUUGAGACGUUGCCGACGGACGACGACGAGGGAGGUUAGG
rnacentral:rRNA from 1 species